AUUGAACGCUGGCGGCAUGCCUUACACAUGCAAGUCGAACGGCAGCACGGGAGCAAUCCUGGUGGCGAGUGGCGAACGGGUGAGUAAUAUAUCGGAACGUGCCCAGUCGUGGGGGAUAACGUAGCGAAAGCUACGCUAAUACCGUAUACGAUCUACGGAUGAAAGCGGGGGAUCGCAAGACCUCGCGCGAUUGGAGCGGCCGAUAUCAGAUUAGGUAGUUGGUGAGGUAAAGGCUCACCAAGCCGACGAUCUGUAGCUGGUCUGAGAGGACGACCAGCCACACUGGGACUGAGACACGGCCCAGACUCCUACGGGAGGCAGCAGUGGGGAAUUUUGGACAAUGGGCGCAAGCCUGAUCCAGCAAUGCCGCGUGCAGGAUGAAGGCCUGGUGUAACUGCUUUGUACGGUAACGAAACGGUAGGUAGCGUCUAAUACAGUUUGUCUAAUGACGGUACCGUAACG
rnacentral:rRNA from 1 species